AGAAUGUUGAAUAGCAAUGAUGAAAGAGGAUCUCAUGUAUCCGAGUGGAAACACUUACAUUAAUUGUAAUACAACAUCAGUUGAAAUUGGGACACAGACACAAAGAGAAAACAAUGUCAUGUGAAGACAGAGGCAAAGAGUGGAGUGACAGAUGUACAAGCGAAGAACCUCAAGAGCGCCGGCAGUUACCAGAAGCUUAGAGUUAGGGAAGGAUCAUCAUCUGAAGCAAGUCCUGGCCUGUCAACAUGUUGAUUUCAGACUACUAGACUCCAGAAAAGUAAGAUAAAAAAUCUUUAAUAUUUGAAGGUGCCCAAUUUGUGGUAAUUUGUUCCUGCAGCCUGAGCAAACUAACAAGCUCACUUUCAGUUCAAUUUCAUGGAAGAAUAGAACAAUCUUUUGGUCCCAUAACACAACUCCUCAGUGGAGAACUCUGAGUGAUUUUAAAAAGACAUACCAAAUAUUGUCCCUUUUAUGCUCAAAAUGAUCCAGUAUUUCUAUGUCAUUCUUAAAAUAAAAACUAAUAUAAUGUCUA
rnacentral:lncRNA from 1 species